AUGAACGCUGGCGGCGUGCCUAAUACAUGCAAGUCGCGCGAACGGACGAGAAGCUUGCUUCUCUGAUGUUAGCGGCGGACGGGUGAGUAACACGUGGAUAACCUACCUAUAAGACUGGGAUAACUUCGGGAAACCGGAGCUAAUACCGGAUGAUAUUUUGAACCGCAUGGUUCAAAAGUGAAAGACGGUCUUGCUGUCACUUAUAGAUGGAUCCGCGCUACAUUAGCUAGUUGGUAAGGUAACGGCUUACCAAGGCAACGAUGCAUAGCCGACCUGAGAGGGUGAUCGGCCACACUGGAACUGAGACACGGUCCAGACUCCUACGGGAGGCAGCAGUAGGGAAUCUUCCGCAAUGGGCGAAAGCCUGACGGAGCAACGCCGCGUGAGUGAUGAAGGUCUUCGGAUCGUAAAACUCUGUUAUUAGGGAAGAACAUAUGUGUAAGUAACUGUGCACAUCUUGACGGUACCUAAUCAGAAAGCCACGGCUAACUACGUG
rnacentral:rRNA from 1 species